GACGGAUGUUGCUCUGGUGCACG
rnacentral:miRNA from 1 species